GUGCUUGCUUCAGCAGCACAUAUACGAAAAUUGGAAUGAUACAGAGAAAAUUAGCAUGGCCCCUGCGCAAGGAUGAUGUGCAAAUUCGUGAAGUAUUCCAUAUUAAA
ensembl:snRNA U6 U6 spliceosomal RNA